AGGCAGGUGGAGAGGGGAUGGGGGAGGUCUCAGGUCCUCUUGCUCACCCAUCAGCUGUGUAGUGUCUGAAGUGAUUAAGGAGCUUGGGGAGGCCUCCCAGGCUGGUCUGCUCCACUGGCCCUCAGAAAGACUUGUCGCCUCGCCGAGCCUCAGUGUUCUCAUCUGAAGAAUAGAGUGGGCAAGGCCUUUCUCCUACACACUCAGAGCCCUGAAUGGGAAGAAAUGGGUUCCAUGUGCAGCAAGCCAGGAGAGAUUUAGGCAACGAGAACCUCCAGUUCUGUCUUAGGGUUCCCAGCUUUCUCCUUGUCCUGAGGGAGCCGCUGAGCCUGUGGGAGAUGAGGGGUGCCCAUUCCCCAGUGCUUCUCACCCUCCCCCACCUGCCCUCCUGGGGUACCUUUGUCUGCCACUUGCAUCCUAUUGGAAGCUGUCCCCAAGUGCGUGUUAGGCAGGUGGCAGGUGCUGGAGCAGAGUGCACCACCCUCCGGCGAUCACUGUGAGUUGGGGUAAGAGUGGGGUGUUCCUGCCAGCCCCAGGAGAGGGGAAAGCAAGCCCCCGUCCACCCUUGUGGGUCUCUGCUCCUGGAAAAGGUGCUCUAGCAGGCUCAUCUGUGUGAGUCACUGUCUUCCAUGUGGGGGGCUGUGCUGAAGAAGCCUUGGUGAUAUGGGUGCAAAUGCCAAAAACAUGGAAUGCUGGAAGCCAAGCUUGCACAUUCUAGGCAGCCAUUUGGAAGAUUCUUCUCUGCGCAUGACCAGCUGAAAAGGAAAAACCCCGAAACAUUGGCACUGUGAUUUCUCCAUGUGAACAGUUUAGUUCGCCGAGGUGGACAUGCCUCAUUCAUGCUUAUGGAGUGACCGACCAGCCUUUAGUGACACCCCCUGAAAUGUGAGUCAUCCAUGGGUCACUAGUCAUUGGAGAAGAGCCCCUUAUACAAAACUUGGAGCUCAGACCACAAACAACAACAACAAUCCAAAAAAUAAAAAAAUGAAAAAUUAGGAGCAGAGACUAAAUGGAAAGAUGGAAAUAUUAAAAUAAAAAUAUUAUUUUAAAAAUUAAUAUGUAUUAAAAUUUUAUUUAAAGUAAAAAUAAAUAAAAUAAAAAAAUUAAUAUUAAUUAAUACCAAAAAAAAAAAAA
rnacentral:lncRNA from 1 species